rnacentral:rRNA from 1 species
UACGUAGGGGGCUAGCGUUGUCCGGAAUCAUUGGGCGUAAAGCGCGUGUAGGCGGUCCGGUAAGUCCGCUGUGAAAGUCGGGGGCUCAACCUCGAGACGCCGGUGGAAACCGUAAGGCUAGAGUCCGGAAGAGGAGAGUGGAAUUCCUGGUGUAGCGGUGAAAUGCGCAGAUAUCAGGAGGAACACCCGUGGCGAAAGCGGCUCUCUGGGACGGUACUGACGCUGAGACGCGAAAGCGUGGGAGCAAACAGG